GCGUUGUCCGGAUUUACUGGGCGUACAGCGCGCGCAGGCGGGCUCGUAUGUGACUGGUGACAGCCUCCCGCUCAACGGGAGAAGGCCCGGUUACACAGCGGACCUGGAGGCAGGGAGAGGGAUGUGGAAUACCCGGUGGAGCGGUGAAAUGCGUAGAGAUCGGGUGGAACACCAGUGGCGAAGGCGGCAUCCUGGCCCUGACCUGACGCUGAGGCGCGAGAGCGUG
rnacentral:rRNA from 1 species